CGUGUAGGCGGAGAUGCAAGUUGGGAGUGAAAUCCCGGGGCUCAACCCCGGAACUGCUCUCAAAACUGUAUCCCUUGAGUAUCGGAGAGGCAAGCGGAAUUCCUAGUGUAGCGGUGAAAUGCGUAGAUAUUAGGAGGAACACCAGUGGCGAAGGCGGCUUGCUGGACGACAACUGACGCUGAGGCGCGAAAGCGUGGGGAGCAAACA
rnacentral:rRNA from 1 species